CCAAAGGCUCUUUUCAGAGCCACCCACACGGAUCUUUGAAAAGACCU
rfam:Heterocephalus glaber contig168511, whole genome shotgun sequence.